UAAAAACAGUGAAGAAAUGCUCAAACACUGAACGAGAGUUCAAGCGAUUUUCCUGCCUCAUCCUCCAGAGUAGCUGGGACUACAGGGGGAAAAAACACUUCAAGCCUAAAGACAAGCCGUUUGAAAUUACCCCAUGG